CAUGCAAGUCGAACGAUGAUCAGGAAGCUUGCUCCUGUGAUUAGUGGCGAACGGGUGAGUAACACGUGAGUAACCUGCCCCUGACUCUGGGAUAAGCGUUGGAAACGACGUCUAAUACUGGAUAUGAUCACUGGCCGCAUGGUCUGGUGGUGGAAAGAUUUUUUGGUUGGGGAUGGACUCGCGGCCUAUCAGCUUGUUGGUGAGGUAAUGGCUCACCAAGGCGACGACGGGUAGCCGGCCUGAGAGGGUGACCGGCCACACUGGGACUGAGACACGGCCCAGACUCCUACGGGAGGCAGCAGUGGGGAAUAUUGCACAAUGGGCGAAAGCCUGAUGCAGCAACGCCGCGUGAGGGAUGACGGCCUUCGGGUUGUAAACCUCUUUUAGUAGGGAAGAAGCGAAAGUGACGGUACCUGCAGAAAAAGCACCGGCUAACUACGUGCCAGCAGCCGCGGUAAUACGUAGGGUGCAAGCGUUGUCCGGAAUUAUUGGGCGUAAAGAGCUCGUAGGCGGNUUUGUCGCGUCUGCUGUGAAAUCCCGAGGCUCAACCUCGGGNCUUGCAGUGGGUACGGGCAGACUAGAGUGCGGUAGGGGAGAUUGGAAUUCCUGGUGUAGCGGUGGAAUGCGCAGAUAUCAGGAGGAACACCGAUGGCGAAGGCAGAUCUCUGGGCCGUAACUGACGCUGAGGAGCGAAAGCGUGGGGAGCGAACAGGAUUAGAUACCCUGGUAGUCCACGCCGUAAACGUUGGGCGCUAGAUGUAGGGACCUUUCCACGGUUUCUGUGUCGUAGCUAACGCAUUAAGCGCCCCGCCUGGGGAGUACGGCCGCAAGGCUAAAACUCAAAGGAAUUGACGGGGGCCCGCACAAGCGGCGGAGCAUGCGGAUUAAUNUCGAUGCAACGCGAAGAACCUUACCAAGGCUUGACAUACACCGGAAACGGCCAGAGAUGGUCGCCCCCUUGUGGUCGGUGUACAGGUGGUGCAUGGUUGUCGUCAGCUCGUGUCGUGAGAUGUUGGGUUAAGUCCCGCAACGAGCGCAACCCUCGUUCUAUGUUGCCAGCGCGUUAUGGCGGGGACUCAUAGGAGACUGCCGGGGUCAACUCGGAGGAAGGUGGGGAUGACGUCAAAUCAUCAUGCCCCUUAUGUCUUGGGCUUCACGCAUGCUACAAUGGCCGGUACAAAGGGCUGCGAUACCGUAAGGUGGAGCGAAUCCCAAAAAGCCGGUCUCAGUUCGGAUUGAGGUCUGCAACUCGACCUCAUGAAGUCGGAGUCGCUAGUAAUCGCAGAUCAGCAACGCUGCGGUGAAUACGUUCCCGGGCCUUGUACACACCGCCCGUCAAGUCAUGAAAGUCGGUAACACCCGAAGCCGGUGCCUAACCCUU
rnacentral:rRNA from 1 species